AGAACGAACGCUGGCGGCAUGCCUAAUACAUGCAAGUCGAACGAACACUUCGGUGUUAGUGGCGCACGGGUGCGUAACGCGUGGGAAUCUGCCCUUGGGUUCGGAAUAACAGUUGGAAACGACCGCUAAUACCGGAUGAUAUCGAAAGAUCAAAGAUUUAUCGCCCAGGGAUGAGCCCGCGUAGGAUUAGCUAGUUGGUGAGGUAAAGGCUCACCAAGGCGACGAUCCUUAGCUGGUCUGAGAGGAUGAUCAGCCACACUGGGACUGAGACACGGCCCAGACUCCUACGGGAGGCAGCAGUAGGGAAUAUUGGACAAGUGGGCGCAAGCCUGAUCCAGCAAUGCCGCGUGAGUGAUGAAGGCCGUUAGGGUUGUAAAGCUUACGUUUACCCGAGAUUGAUAAUGACGAGUAGUACGGGAAGAAUAACGGCCCCGGUACGUAAACCGUUCCCGGUGUACCUAGCCGACGCCCGUAC
rnacentral:rRNA from 1 species